rnacentral:tRNA from 1 species
CCCACCUUAGUUCAGACUGGCUAGAGCGCUCGGCUGUAGACCGAGAUGUCCCCGGUUCAAACCGCGGUUCGCAUUGCCGACCGGCGUGGAAUUCCGGGAGGUGGGA